UACGUAGGUGGCAAGCGUUGUCCGGAUUUACUGGGCGUAAAGGGCGUGCAGGCGGUCCUUUAAGUCUGAUGUGAAAGCCCACGGCUCAACCGUGGAGGGUCAUUGGAAACUGGGGGACUUGAGUGCAGAAGAGGAAAGCGGAAUUCCACGUGUAGCGGUGAAAUGCGUAGAGAUGUGGAGGAACACCAGUGGCGAAGGCGGCUUUCUGGUCUGUAACUGACGCUGAGGCGCGAAAGCGUGGGGAGCGAACAGG
rnacentral:rRNA from 1 species